rnacentral:sRNA from 1 species
AAGAGGAGUGAGUUGGUCCCCAGGCCACACAGCCCAGUCCUUGACAGUAGCCACAGACCCUGUACCAGGGACUUGUUGCUAGCUUGGCUUUUGAAUCUGAAAAACUGCCUCAAUACCCCUUUGCCCCAUUUCAUAUUGAUCCUGGGAUCAGCAGGCCUGGGUCUCUUCUCUCCCUUUAGUUCAUUUAUUCAGUUCUAAAGAACCUUCCAUAUACCCAACACUAGGUGCUACAGGAUACAGAAAUGGAAGACUCAGACUCUCUCCUUGAGAAGCUCCUUGGUCUAGUGGGGAGGACAGACAUGUAGCCAGAUCACAAAAACACAGCACAGCACUUGCUAUAACCAGGGAGAACACGAGAAUCCCAUGGGAGGGACACCUGGUUCCCCUGAGCAAGCCCUGGGAAGCCAAGGACCUCACUGCUGUAUCCUCAGGACCUAGCACCCUCCCUGGCACAUAGCAGGUACUCCACACUAGCUGACUGAGUGAAUCGAUCCAUCAGUCAAGCUAUCAUCAUCAUAGUGGGAAGAGAAGUCACCAGGCAGAAUUUCUGGAGGACAUGACAGAUCCUAAGGGACUCCGUGAAGGCUGAGAAGAGCCCUCGGAUGAAAAUGGGCAUCGGAGCAUUGUAGGCAGAAAACCAUGUGUGAGAGAGAGAGAAGGCAGGAACAGCCCAUGGAGGUGCUGUGAGUGGUGCAGGGUCCAAGAGGCUUGGUGAGAGGGAAUGUGGAGGGACGAGGAAGCAGGUGAGGGUCACUGCCCCCUCCUUUCCUGCCUGCCCCGACCUCUCCCCUAUGGCACACAGUAUCCUAACCAUGGGUUUAGUGUCCACCAGAGUUAAAGGACCCAGAACCUUCUCACCACAUGGAAUAUAUGCAGCCUUAUGUGUCCAUGCCCAGGGCCUUUCAGGAUUUUAGAAGCUGCCACCGGCCGAGGGCAGGAUCAGGGAGGCAGGGAUUGGGGGGGAGGGGGAGGUGUGGGGAGACCCCCGACACCCUGCCAUCUUGGCUUUUCCAGCCCCAGGACUUCUUCUCCCCCUCAGGUGGGAGGUCAAUCCCCUUUACUGUGACACAGUGAAACAGAUCUACCCGUACAACAACAGCCAGCGGCUCCUCAAUGUCAUCGACAUGGCCAUCUUCGACUUCUUGAUAGCCUCAGAAGUGGCGGAGGUCCCAGAGGACAGAAGGUAACAAGCUCCCCUCUCUUCAAAGAACGGGAAGAAGCUGAAGGGGUCGUCACUCAUAAGGCAGGCAUCUCACCCUGCCACAGGCCUGAGUGGGCGUCAGAUUGGAAGUUGUAUGUUCACUUCACCAAUUGAGGGGAAACCAGGAAAUAUGGACCGGCACCAUUAUGAGAUGUUCACCAAGUUCGGGGAUGAUGGGUUCCUUAUUCACCUUGACAACGCCAGAGGGUUUGGACGACACUCCCAUGAUGAAAUCUCCAUCCUCUCGCCUCUCUCCCAGUGCUGCAUAAUAAAAAAGAAAACACUUUUGCACCUGCAGCUGCUGGCCCAAGCUGACUACAGACUCAGCGAUGUGAUGCGAGAAUCACUGCUAGAAGACCAGCUCAGCCCUGUCCUCACUGAACCCCACCUCCUUGCCCUGGAUCGAAGGCUCCAAACCAUCCUAAGGACAGUGGAGGGGUGCAUAGUGGCCCAUGGACAGCAGAGUGUCAUAGUCGACGGCCCAGUGGAACAAUCGGCCCCUGACUCCGGCCAGGCUAACUUGACAAGCUAAGGGCUGGAAGAGUCCAGUUUCAGAAAAUAUGCCUGGAGCCAGAGCAGCAGACUCGAGUGCCGACCCUGCUUCCUCACCUCCACCUGUUAAUGCUGGAAGUCAAGUCAGCUAGGAAGGAAGUAGGACAUUUUCUCAAACAGCAAGCGGGGCCCACGGAACUUGAUCUUUACUCCUUGGUGCACCGCUUCUGUUGUGCACUGCCUUGCUCCGUUUUUCCCAAAAAGCACUGGCUUCAUCAAGGUCACCGACGACCUCCUGAGUGCACUGGGAAAUCUGGGUAUAGGUCAGGCCUGGCAGCCUUGAUCCCAGGAGGGUACUAAUGGUAACAAGUCAAAUAAAAGGACAUCAAGUGGA